CAUGCAAGUCGAGCGGCAGCGGGAAGUAGUUUACUACUUUGCCGGCGAGCGGCGGACGGGUGAGUAAUGUCUGGGAAACUGCCUGAUGGAGGGGGAUAACUACUGGAAACGGUAGCUAAUACCGCAUGACCUCGUAAGAGCAAAGUGGGGGACCUUCGGGCCUCACGCCAUCGGAUGUGCCCAGAUGGGAUUAGCUAGUAGGUGGGGUAAUGGCUCACCUAGGCGACGAUCCCUAGCUGGUCUGAGAGGAUGACCAGCCACACUGGAACUGAGACACGGUCCAGACUCCUACGGGAGGCAGCAGUGGGGAAUAUUGCACAAUGGGCGCAAGCCUGAUGCAGCCAUGCCGCGUGUGUGAAGAAGGCCUUCGGGUUGUAAAGCACUUUCAGCGAGGAGGAAGGCAGUCGUGUUAAUAGCACGAUUGAUUGACGUUACUCGCAGAAGAAGCACCGGCUAACUCCGUGCCAGCAGCCGCGGUAAUACGGAGGGUGCAAGCGUUAAUCGGAAUUACUGGGCGUAAAGCGCACGCAGGCGGUUUGUUAAGUCAGAUGUGAAAUCCCCGCGCUUAACGUGGGAACUGCAUUUGAAACUGGCAAGCUAGAGUCUUGUAGAG
rnacentral:rRNA from 1 species